GAGGGUGUGGCUCAGUGGUAGAGCCUGCGGUUAGCGCGCUUGAGGUCCUGGGUUCAGUCCCCAGCACCUCCA
rnacentral:tRNA from 1 species